CCUGUUGUCUUGGUGAGGUGCAGUUGCUCGUGUGUGGCUGGGACUGCAAUGUGCAACCAUACAGUUGCCCUUCUAUACCAGACUGCUCACUUCUCUCAGCUCAGUGUGCCAGUGGUUCCACCAGUUCACAGCUGCACUGAAGAGGAGCAACAGUGGCACAAACCUCGGACUGCUGGUGUAAAACCAGGACCAAUUGGCAAGAUGGUUGUCACAAAGCCUGUGCAAGGCCAGAUGUGGGAAGGCGGCUUAUGGAGUACCCUGACGAGAGGAAUGCUCGGGCCGCUUCCUGACCUGUCUGUGCUGCGGGUGGCAGAGGUGUACAGUGAACUGGAUCCUCUAGAUACCCAUAGUAGUCACCAAUGGCCUAUGAGUGCAA